AGCCUUGAGGUGUCCGACAUAUUAGGUUGCAAACCUGAAGUUGCAGACGAAAAAUCUGCCGGGGCUU
rnacentral:tRNA from 1 species